rnacentral:rRNA from 1 species
GACGAACGCUGGCGGCGUGCUUAACACAUGCAAGUCGAACGGAAAGGCCCUGCUUUUGUGGGGUGCUCUAGUGGCGAACGGGUGAGUAACACGUGAGUAACCUGCCCUUGACUUUGGGAUAACUUCAGGAAACUGGGGCUAAUACCGGAUAGGAGCUCCUGCUGCAUGGUGGGGGUUGGAAAGUUUCGGCGGUUGGGGAUGGACUCGCGGCUUAUCAGCUUGUUGGUGGGGUAGUGGCUUACCAAGGCUUUGACGGGUAGCCGGCCUGAGAGGGUGCCCGGCCACAUUGGGACUGAGAUACGGCCCAGACUCCUACGGGAGGCAGCAGUGGGGAAUAUUGCACAAUGGGCGGAAGCCUGAUGCAGCAACGCCGCGUGCGGGAUGACGGCCUUCGGGUUGUAAACCGCUUUCGCCUGUGACGAAGCGUGAGUGACGGUAAUGGGUAAAGAAGCACCGGCUAACUACGUG